rnacentral:rRNA from 1 species
UACGGUUACCUUGUUACGACUUCACCCCAGUCAUGAAUCUCACCGUGGCAAGCGCCCUCCUUGCGGUUAGACUACCUGCUUCUGGUGGAACCCACUCCCAUGGUGUGACGGGCGGUGUGUACAAGACCCGGGAACGUAUUCACCGCGACAUGCUGAUCCGCGAUUACUAGCGAUUCCGACUUCACGGAGUCGAGUUGCAGACUCCGAUCCGGACUACGACGCGCUUUCUGAGAUUAGCUCCCCCUUGCGGGUUGGCAACCCUCUGUACGCGCCAUUGUAUUACGUGUGAAGCCCUACCCAUAAGGGCCAUGAGGACUUGACGUCAUCCCCACCUUCCUCCGGUUUGUCACCGGCAGUCUCAUUAAAGUGCCCAACUAAAUGAUGGCAACUAAUGACAAGGGUUGCGCUCGUUGCGGGACUUAACCCAACAUCUCACGACACGAGCUGACGACAGCCAUGCAGCACCUGUGUUAUCGUUCCCUUUCGGGCACACCCACAUCUCUGCGGGUUUCAAUACAUGUCAAGGGUAGGUAAGGUUUUUCGCGUUGCAUCGAAUUAAUCCACAUAAUCCACCGCUUGUGCGGGUCCCCGUCAAUUCCUUUGAGUUUUAAUCUUGCGAUCGUACUCCCCAGGCGGUCAACUUCACGCGUUAGCUACGUUACCAAGCCCGUUAAGACCCGACAACUAGUUGACAUCGUU